rnacentral:rRNA from 1 species
GUUAGGAAUAUUGGACAAUGGGCGCAAGCCUGAUCCAGCCAUGCCGCGUGAGUGAUGAAGGCCUUCGGGUUGUAAAGCUCUUUAGCCGAUGAUUAUAAUGACUGUAGUCGGAAAAUAAGCCCCGGCUAACUUCGUGCCAGCAGCCGCGGUAAUACGAAGGGGGCGAGCGUUAUUCGGAAUCACUGGGCGUAAAGCGUGCGUAGGCGGCUUUGCAAGUUGGGAGGGAAAGCCCAGGGCUCAACCCUGGAAUUGCUCUCAAAACUGCAAGGCUCGAAUUCGGGAGAGGAUAGCGGAAUUGUCAGUGUAGCAGUGAAAUGCGUAGAUAUUGACAGGAACACCAGUGGCGUAAGCGGCUAUCUGGACCGAUAUUGACGCUGAGGCACGAAAGCGUGGGGAUCAAACAGGAUUAGAAACCCCAGUAGUCC